AAAACUAACUUCGAAGUGUACCCAAGAAAAUACAUAGGUAUUCAAGGGGACAUUUGGACGAUGAUGAGCCUCAUCGUGCAAUCACAGUCUUCUUCCUCUUCGUCCACCCUUUCGGCGUGUACUGUCUGUGGGAAUCGGAGUCACAUCCUCUGCAAAUGCAUUCAAGAAAGAUUCAGUUUGCAAUGAGCAAUCAAAAGUUGCAAUAAACAAGACGAAGUGAGAGAUAUUCAGUUUCUGAAUUUACCUAUACGACCAAUCUUCAUGCCAGAACGAGCAAGGGCUCUGAGAGCAGACUGAGCACCAGGACCUGGAGUCUUGGUUUUGUUUCCUCCAGUAGCACGGAGCUUCACGUGAAUGGCUGUGAUGCCAAGCUCCUGUCACAUAUGGAGCAUUAGACAUUAUCAUCCAGAAGCUCAAUGUGAUUAUAAGAAAAAAAAGUAUGAAUAUCAAAUCAUUUCUGACCUUGCAUCUUUGAGCAACAUCUUGAGCUGCAAGCAUAGCAGCAUAAGGAGAGGACUCAUCACGAUCAGCCUUCACCUUCAUGCCACCUGCAAAAUGUGCAUUCGAAGAUUGAAGUCACAUAAUCAUCAAAUUACACAGAAUAUAAAUGAAUUCUAUAGAAAUAUUGUGAGAGAUUAGAGUCUACACUAACAUAAGCACAGAUAACAAAAGACUACUAUGAAACA
rnacentral:lncRNA from 1 species